GUGGCUGAUAUUUAUUUCCUGUUUUUCCAAGUCCGCGUGACUUCUUUCUGUGGGAGAAAUACUCACUCCGGAGAGAGCCCCUGCGGCUUUCCUCAGUCCUCCGGUGGUAACCUCUGGCCAAAGUGGACUGCAGUGGCACCGUAGACACUGAUAUUAAUCCAGCACCGAAUGUACCGUUGCCACAAGAACCCCUCACGUCGCCCUGUCACAGUGUCCUCAGUGGCUGAGAUUGAGGCUUUGCUGGCAGAAGACAAGGUCCAGGGGAUGCCUUCCUCCUGUGGAGCCCCAGGAACCAGCAGACAGCUUUACUGGCAGAAGGCUGGAAGACACAAGAUGGUGAGGAGGGGUAUAGCAUGCGGCUGGCAUGGAGGUCCCACAGGAUGUGCAUGAGCCGGAAGCUAGAGGCCUGGGCAGACUGAGGACUCAGGCACUCUGAUCUGAAUGCCGGUGUCCGUCCCAGUGGGUGACUCAGCUACUGCACUCAACACCAGAGUGGGAAGACACGCAACAGCUCCUCGCAAAGGUAAACACUCCUCUGCCGCCAAGAGGACUCACUCUGCUACUAAAAAAUAUACACAUGAAUAUUCAUGGCAGCAUGGCUCAUCAACAGUCCCAAAGUGGAAACAGCUAACCUCCAUCAAUUUAGAAACAGGUCGAUAAAACGCGGUGUAAUGUCGCAAGGAGGAAUAUUCCACAACAACAGGAACGAAGCCCAGGUACACGCUACAACUCAGACAAACCCGGAGAACAUCGUGCCGAGUGGAGCAAGCCCCGUUUCACUCCGCAUGCGCAGACAGAAGGUGCCCGAGCAGGUGUCACUUGGCGAAGAGCUCCUGGGAGGGCGGCUUCGGUUUAGUUGUGGCUUUUAGCAACGGGGCGUAGCUUUGGAUGCAGAGUGGCGAUGACGGUCACACAGCAGAGCGGACAUUCUCAAGACACGGAACUGCAAACUUGGGCGUGGUGAAUUCGGACCCCGUGUUUGUCACAGCUCCCCGCCUGUGGCUUGGGAAAGGCAGUCG